UUAACUAUGUUGGUAUCUGUGAACGCGC
rnacentral:piRNA from 1 species